rnacentral:rRNA from 1 species
GAUGAACGCUGGCGGCGUGCCUAAUACAUGCAAGUCGAGCGGACAGACGAUGAGCUUGCGCCUCUGACGUUAGCGGCGGGCGUGUGAGUAACACGUGGAUAACCUACUUAUAAGACUGGGAUCACUUCGGGACACCGGCGCUUAUACCGUAUGAUCUAUUGCACCGCGUGGUGCAAUGGUGAAAUACGGUUGUUGUGUCUCUUCUAGAUGGAUCCGCGCCGCUUUAGCUGGUUGUUACGGUAACGGCUUACCAAGGCAAGGAUGCGUAGCCGAACUGUGGGAGUGAUCGGCGGCCUUGGAGCGUAGCCAAGGUCCAGACUCCUGCGGGAGGCAGCAGUAGGGAACGUUCCGCAAUGGGGGAAAGCAUGACGGAGCAACGCCGAGCGAGUGAUGAAGGUCUUCGGAUCGUAAAACCCUGUUAUGAGGGAAGAACAAAUGUGUAAGUAACUAUGCACGGCGUGACGGUACCUAAUCAGAAAGCCACGGCUAACUACGUG